UCUUCGUCGUCCUCUCAAGGGUAUUUAAGAAAUUUUGUUUAGAGAUAUUCUUAGUUUGACCUGGAAAACCUGCGGUGCUUUGAUAGUCAUCUCCCUCCUUUGCAGACACGUGGUUUAUAGAUUACCUGCGAUCUCCUGCUUCCGCCAGCGUCUUCCCCGUUGAUUUGUAGAUAACUAUCUCGAAGCGUGUUUGAUGAUUCCCCUCGUUGUUGAAGAAUGGAUUUUGAGUCAAAGUUCUAUAAAGUUACACGAAGGUUAAUUUUACAGAGACAGAGGCUAUUUCGAAUUCCCUAGGUAAUCUUACUGAUGCUCUAUCUCUUCUCAUUUUUCUCUUCUCUUGUCAUUUUACCUUUGAAGUGUGUCUAUUUAUGUCUGGUUGGGUUCAAAUUUGAUCAUUGGAAGGUUGUGGUGUUAUCGGUGGCUGAAAAGGGGAAAUAGAGUGCUUCUUCCAUGUCAGUAGGCUGAUCCCCCUUAACUAUCCAAAAUUCGUGAAGAAGAUAUUAUUGGCGUCACAGUAUUGCUAUUAACAUUAUCCUAUGCGGGGCAAGAAUUUAUUCGAGUAGGAUAUUAUGUGAACAAUGAUUACGAUGAUGAACAAUUAAAAGAGGAACCACCUCAGAAGGUUUUGCUUGAUAGGGUCCAGAGGAAUAUUUUGGCUGACAAACCCCAAGUCACGAAAUUCCCCAAUGAUUUCCAUCCAGAAAACAAUGAAAAUUGAGAACAGGCUCCUGCCUCUCCUGACCAUGCCACAGAAGUCAAUGUGCAUGUAGAAGAACCAAUUUUUUCACCCAAUCAAUGUUUAGUGCAGUGUCCUCAAACCUGAGAAACAAGAAGCAAGUUGCAUUGGCUGUCAAAAGUUUUCUUUCAGAGUUUGAUAUUUUGAUGAUUUCUUAUACCAAUUUGGUGUUAUGGUCUCAAAAUCUACACUGCCUAAAUGGUAUUUUUAACUUAUGCCUUGAAAUGUAUACAUGAAAUGUUGUAUCUGCUGGAGUUGUAGAUGAGAUAAAUCAUUCUUAAAUUAAAUGCUGAUUUGCAAACAAGAAUUUGAUCACA